rnacentral:misc_RNA from 1 species
CGCGAGAAGAUUGUACCUUAACUAUAUUCCCAAAAAAUCAAGUGAGGCUAGUAUGUCGUAUACAAGUAUCUCAAUCAAAUCGUUGCUCAAUUCUAAUGAUACUUGAGCAAAAACAGACGGGGCAUAGACUUUUGCGAACAUAUUUUUUACCUGAAAUUAAUCUGCAGCCUCCCAGAUGAUAGAAAUCGUGUCAACGGAAGAUGCAUGCUUACUUGCUUAGGAUGCAGGGCAGAGUCUGAUUUAUUUGAAAUGCUCUGAACACCCCAAGGAGCAUUGGAAUAGCAACUUUAAGCAUCAUGUCUUCUUGGUUGCCAAUUAUGAAUCUCUCUUCACGGCUCCGCCAAACCCC